rnacentral:rRNA from 1 species
AACGAACGCUGGCGGCAUGCCUAACACAUGCAAGUCGAACGAACCCUUCGGGGUUAGUGGCGCACGGGUGCGUAACGCGUGGGAAUCUGCCCUUUGCUUCGGAAUAACUCAGGGAAACUUGUGCUAAUACCGGAUGAUGUCUUCGGACCAAAGAUUUAUCGGCAAGGGAUGAGCCCGCGUAGGAUUAGGUAGUUGGUGGGGUAAAGGCCUACCAAGCCGACGAUCCUUAGCUGGUCUGAGAGGAUGAUCAGCCACACUGGGACUGAGACACGGCCCAGACUCCUACGGGAGGCGGCAGUGGGGAAUAUUGGGCAAUGGGCGCAAGCCUGAUCCAGCAAUGCCGCGUGAGUGAUGAAGGCCCUCGGGUCGUAAAGCUCUUUUACCAGGGAUGAUAAUGACAGUACCUGGAGAAUAAGCUCCGGCUAACUCCGUG